AAAAGAUUAGUUAACUAAAUAACAUCAGAAUGUCAAACUGAAGUAAUCAUAAAGAUAUCUUUUU
rnacentral:tRNA from 1 species